AAAAAAAUGCGUAGCUGCAGAACACAAUUCAGUCCUUUCCCCACCCUGGCCGACAAUCCCACGGAUGCCUCCUCUAGGCUAGCGCCGCCCCGGGCACCUCCUUCACCCAUGCCUCCGCCUCCACCCAGCCGACAGAGCAGUCCCGGCGCCACCCCUUGCUAGCACAGCCACCGCCAUUACCGCCGGCAGCUGGAUGUGCGCUAUGGCGCAUCGGGGGGCGCUCCGGCCCAGCAUGAUGACCGCCGUGACCGCAGCAGCAGUCCCUCCUCUCACGGCCACGCUCGAGCCCUCUCUUUCAGUUCCCCAUGGCAGCCCCCUCUGCAUCCUGCAUCCCGACGGCUGGCGCCGCCCCGAGCCACCCUAUGGUCCCUAUCCCGCACGGCAGGGACGGCCCGAACCACCCCUGCACCCCUGACGGCCGGCGCGCGUCGACUGCACCAACUCUUCUCUUCCUCGAGUUGUGGCUAUGCUUGAAAUAGAUGAUCAUAUGCAUGAUGUGUGGAAGAGACGUGAUGAUGACAAGUCGAUUCACUCUACUACUUUUAGUUGGAUAUCAGGACUCCCUUUCGAUGCCAAAAUAAAGGAGUGACUGACCAGUGAAGAAAAGAACAAACAAGAUCUCUGGUCAAUCUUGUAUUAUAUUGCGGUUUAUCAGAUUUUCCUGAAGAACAUGGCUGUGAUCUGGUAGUAGAACACUUUGCAUGACUACCUGAUUAAUCACAUCAAGUAAAUGUCUGGCAGGUGCUAUCCAGAUUCGAGAGGGUAAACUUUAGAACUAACUGACUACUAAUGCUGCAAUAAAAGCCAAAGCCGUUUGAUCGUGGGAUGUUUUGUCCGACAUGGCCACCUGUGUUCGAUAGGGUCACGGUCAGCUGUGUUGGCCGGGAUUCAAUUCAGCCCUUGUACUACACGGAAAACUUGUACGGAGUAUAGGAGUUCUCGCAUGAUUUUUUUGUACAGGAGAGCUGGGCAACGACCGAGCCGACUUUCACGGGUCGUUUGGCUGGAUCGCCCGAAGCCCCAUGACCAGCGCUUGGAUAGAAUAGAUUAAUGUAAUCUAUACCUAAUAAUAAAGG